GGGUGCAAGCGUUAUCCGGAUUCACUGGGUUUAAAGGGUGCGUAGGCGGGUAGUUAAGUCCGUGGUGAAAUCUCUGAGCUUAACUCAGAAACUGCCAUGGAUACUAUUUGUCUUGAAUAUUGUGGAGGUAAGCGGAAUAUGUCAUGUAGCGGUGAAAUGCUUAGAUAUGACAUAGAACACCAAUUGCGAAGGCAGCUUACUACACAGUUAUUGACGCUGAGGCACGAAAGCGUGGGGAUCAAACAGG
rnacentral:rRNA from 1 species